rnacentral:rRNA from 1 species
GUUGGGUAGGGGAGCGUUCUGUAAGCCGUUGAAGGUGUGCUGUGAGGCAUGCUGGAGGUAUCAGAAGUGCGAAUGCUGACAUAAGUAACGAUAAAGCGGGUGAAAAGCCCGCUCGCCGGAAGACCAAGGGUUCCUGUCCAACGUUAAUCGGGGCAGGGUGAGUCGACCCCUAAGGCGAGGCCGAAAGGCGUAGUCGAUGGGAAACGGGUUAAUAUUCCCGUACUUGGUGUUACUGCGAAGGGGGGACGGAGAAGGCUAUGUUGGCCGGGCGACGGUUGUCCCGGUUUAAGCGUGUAGGCUGGUUUUCCAGGCAAAUCCGGAAAAUCAAGGCUGAGGCGUGACGACGAGGCACCACGGUGCUGAAGCAACAAAUGCCCUGCUUCCAGGAAAAGCCUCUAAGCUCCAGGUAACACGAAAUCGUACCCCAAACCGACACAGGUGGUCAGGUAGAGAAUACCAAGGCGCUUGAGAGAACUCGGGUGAAGGAACUAGGCAAAAUGGUGCCGUAACUUCGGGAGAAGGCACGCUGACACGUAGGUGAAGUGAUUUACUCAUGGAGCUGAAGUCAGUCGAAGAUACCAGCUGGCUGCAACUGUUUAUUAAAAACACAGCACUGUGCAAACACGAAAGUGGACGUAUACGGUGUGACGCCUGCCCGGUGCCGGAAGGUUAAUUGAUGGGGUUAUCCUCGCGGAGAAGCUCCUGAUCGAAGCCCCGGUAAACGGCGGCCGUAACUAUAACGGUCCUAAGGUAGCGAAAUUCCUUGUCGGGUAAGUUCCGACCUGCACGAAUGGCGUAAUGAUGGCCAGGCUGUCUCCACCCGAGACUCAGUGAAAUUGAACUCGCUGUGAAGAUGCAGUGUACCCGCGGCAAGACGGAAAGACCCCGUGAACCUUUACUAUAGCUUGACACUGAACAUUGAGCCUUGAUGUGUAGGAUAGGUGGGAGGCUUUGAAGCGUGGACGCCAGUCUGCGUGGAGCCAACCUUGAAAUACCACCCUUUAAUGUUUGAUGUUCUAACGUGGACCCGUUACCCGGGUUGCGGACAGUGUCUGGUGGGUAGUUUGACUGGGGCGGUCUCCUCCCAAAGAGUAACGGAGGAGCACGAAGGUUGGCUAAUCCUGGUCGGACAUCAGGAGGUUAGUGCAAUGGCAUAAGCCAGCUUGACUGCGAGCGUGACGGCGCGAGCAGGUGCGAAAGCAGGUCAUAGUGAUCCGGUGGUUCUGAAUGGAAGGGCCAUCGCUCAACGGAUAAAAGGUACUCCGGGGAUAACAGGCUGAUACCGCCCAAGAGUUCAUAUCGACGGCGGUGUUUGGCACCUCGAUGUCGGCUCAUCACAUCCUGGGGCUGAAGUAGGUCCCAAGGGUAUGGCUGUUCGCCAUUUAAAGUGGUACGCGAGCUGGGUUUAGAACGUCGUGAGACAGUUCGGUCCCUAUCUGCCGUGGGCGCUGGAGAACUGAGGGGGGCUGCUCCUAGUACGAGAGGACCGGAGUGGACGCAUCACUGGUGUUCGGGUUGUCAUGCCAAUGGCACUGCCCGGUAGCUAAAUGCGGAAGAGAUAAGUGCUGAAAGCAUCUAAGCACGAAACUUGCCCCGAGAUGAGUUCUCCCUGAGACCUUGA